rnacentral:rRNA from 1 species
GAUGAACGCUAGCGGCAGGCCUAAUACAUGCAAGUCGAACGGGUGGUCGCAAGACCACUAGUGGCGCACGGGUGCGUAACGCGUAACCAACCUGCCCCGAUCUGGGGGAUAGCCCGCCGAAAGGCGGAUUAAUACCGCAUAUACCCGCAGCCUGGCAUCAGGCAACGGGGAAAGAUUUAUUGGAUCGGGAUGGGGUUGCGUGACAUUAGCUAGUUGGCGGGGUAAGGGCCCACCAAGGCGACGAUGUCUAGGGGACCUGAGAGGGUGAUCCCCCACACUGGCACUGAGAUACGGGCCAGACUCCUACGGGAGGAAGCAGUAGGGAAUAUUGGGCAAUGGGCGAGAGCCUGACCCAGCCAUGCCGCGUGCCGGAUGAAGGCCUUCUGGGUUGUAAACGGCUUUUCUCAGGGAAGAAAAAGACCUUGCGAGGUACACUGACGGUACCUGAGGAAUAAGCACCGGCUAACUCCGUG